UCCAAUCCCAUCCAGGAUCCAAUUCAAGUCAGUUCCUUUCAAAGCGAGAAUCGGGGAAGCCGCACCAGACGCCAUUCUCCUCAGAUCGUAACCGCCAUUAACUGAUGCUGGCGUUUCAAGUUUAUUUCUUUUUUGUGGCUCCUUCUUCUUUGUUUCGUGGCUUGUUUUGGUUUCGAACCGGGUUGUGCUGGUGACUGUGAUAUCGGUAAGCACAGGUUUCACUCGCACUGCUGGGAUAUACGAAUCGGUUAUGACGGUUACGGCGGCCUCUCUACUACCAGGAAGCUGGCUCAGAGAUUAUCGCCGCUGCUAGCAAGUCCAGUGUGUGCGUUUUAUGAGUGAUUCGUAGAAAGCGCAGGACAGAGAGCGAUGCGUGAAAGAAAGGCAGAUGUUGAGCAAAGGGCGAGCCUGUACACAGACAUAACGUAAGUUUUCUCUUAGCUGUUCGAAUUGAUCUUUUGCUUUGUUUGUGUUCUCUUUUAUGCAGGCGUAGUCGCAAAGAAAGAAGACAGCCUGGAUGCCGAAACGACGUGGCUUCCCGCGAGGUUCUAGUGCAUUUCAACUAUUAGAACGGUCAGUUAACUGCCUUUAUUGUUCACAAGAGAGAGUAUGGAAAAAUGUAGCAGUGCUAAUCAAAUGUAAGGAGAAUAAAACCUUUUGGCAAGCAUA